UCCCAGUUCGAAUUNAAGGCUGAAAUUCGCCUUCAUGAAGUCGGAAUUGCUAGUAAUGGCAGGUCAGCAUACUGCCGUGAAUACGUUCCCGGGCCUUGUACACACCGCCCGUCGCACCAUGAGAGUUGGAGAUACCCGAAGCCUGUGAGCUAACUUUUAGAGGCAGCAGUCGAAGGUAGAAUCAAUGAUUGGGGUGAAGUCGUAACAAGGUAGC
rnacentral:rRNA from 1 species